AUUUGUGACAACUAAACUUUAGUAGAUAGUGAGAUGGAGCUGCUCCUGAAAGGUAUUCAGUAAGGAUCUCUGUCCUGCUUUGAAACUUUGGUUUGUCAAGUUAUCAAGUCAGGCUCCUAUGCUAGCAUGGACCUAUUGAAAAGCCGUUAUGGCUAUCUACAUGCCUGGAACAUCUCGGCUUUGGCAUUCUUUUUUAUGUAUGCUCAGUCACAUGCUUUUUUAGAUGAAUGGCUCUAUAUAUCAAAUUAUGUCUACGAGUUUCAGCACUAUAUUACCUCAGUAUAGAACUAUAUUACUUCUUAAAAAUGUUGGUCUGAUUUUGUUCGGUGUGGUCUGCCAUAUGAUUAUAUUUAUUACUUCUCCGGGUCUUGGUUGAAUGAUAUAAUUUAUAGAGGUCAUUACACAAGUUCUGGUUUCAGAUGGUUUUGCUGGAUCAGAUACAAAUAUAAGUGGUUCAAGGUAAAUCGAAACUCAAAAUAUACGUUGUUGCUGCCCAAUCUGUAUAUUCUUUAUUUGUUUUGUCCUAUAUAAAUAGUAGUACAUGAAGCGGUAUUUAGCAUUAUAGGAUAACCAUCUGUAUGGAUGGGGGAAUUUAAAAUUAUGUGACUUCGUCAUAUUAAUCUCAACACCUACUCCUCCACUGAGGAGCCGCACAGGUUUGUAGCGUUCAUCGAGAUGCAGACUGUAAUGUUUUAUAAUGGAUUUUUAGUUCACCCCCAUGUUAUUAUGAUACUAUGGUAGAAAUUAACGGAUAGACUGAAAACAUGAAACAGAUACAGGAGCUCCUAUUGGAGCAUCUUCUGAUUUUGACGAGGAUGAGCUGGAAGCAUAGCUGGAAGAAACUGGAGGGAGCACAAUUGGAAAAUCAACUACUGGAGCAUAUACCUUACCAUCAGGUGCAGGUACAACAGGGAGAGGGAGAGGGGGAGUUAUUUUUCCUUUCACGUGGGAUUCCAGUUCGAUUAUGUUUAUGAUUGGACUGUUCUUAAAUAUCAGCAGUCACAGAUGAUCAGUGCAUCCAGAAGUUCAAUUUGUGUUUGUCUGUGGUGAUAAAUGUCUGGUAGAUGUUCCUGUUCUGGUGUUUUACACCGCUGCAGUAGGACAUCUUGGAGACGGGUGACGUGUCUCCAAUUACAAGUUGUCUGGUAGAUGUUCCUAUUCUGGUGUCGAGAAUGAAUGCAAGGAUACCAUGCAAUAUUUCCAUGUGCGCCUAUGAUCGAUUUCUAUAGUUGUUCAAUACAGCCUUUUAAAAAGUGCUUAUAAUUUUGGAAUGUGCCGAGGGGUAUGUAUAAACUGCUAUCUGAUACUGAAGUGGUCCACUUUAUAUUGAUUGUUUCCUCAUUACGCC